UAGGGAAUCUUCCGCAAUGGACGCAAGUCUGACGGAGCAACGCCGCGUGAGUGAAGAAGGAUUUCGGUUCGUAAAACUCUGUUGUUAGAGAAGAACAGCGCAUAGAGUAACUGUUAUGCGUGUGACGGUAUCUAACCAGAAAGCCACGGCUAACUACGUGCCAGCAGCCGCGGUAAUACGUAGGUGGCAAGCGUUGUCCGGAUUUAUUGGGCGUAAAGCGAGCGCAGGCGGUCAAUUAAGUCUGAUGUGAAAGCCCCCGGCUCAACCGGGGAGGGUCAUUGGAAACUGGUUGACUUGAGUGCAGAAGAGGAGAGUGGAAUUCCAUGUGUAGCGGUGAAAUGCGUAGAUAUACGGAGGAACACCAGUGGCGAAGGCGACUCUCUGGUCUGUAACUGACGCUGAGGCUCGAAAGCGUGGGUAGCAAACAGG
rnacentral:rRNA from 1 species